rnacentral:rRNA from 1 species
GGCAAGACGGAAAGACCCCGUGAACCUUUACUAUAGCUUGACACUGAACAUUGAGCCUUGAUGUGUAGGAUAGGUGGGAGGCUUUGAAGUGUGGACGCCAGUCUGCAUGGAGCCGACCUUGAAAUACCACCCUUUAAUGUUUGAUGUUCUAACGUGGACCCGUAAUCCGGGUUGCGGACAGUGUCUGGUGGGUAGUUUGACUGGGGCGGUCUCCUCCUAAAGAGUAACGGAGGAGCACGAAGGUUGGCUAAUCCUGGUCGGACAUCAGGAGGUUAGUGCAAUGGCAUAAGCCAGCUUGACUGCGAGCGUGACGGCGCGAGCAGGUGCGAAAGCAGGUCAUAGUGAUCCGGUGGUUCUGAAUGGAAGGGCCAUCGCUCAACGGAUAAAAGGUACUCCGGGGAUAACAGGCUGAUACCGCCCAAGAGUUCAUAUCGACGGCGGUGUUUGGCACCUCGAUGUCGGCUCAUCACAUCCUGGGGCUGAAGUAGGUCCCAAGGGUAUGGCUGUUCGCCAUUUAAAGUGGUACGCGAGCUGGGUUUAGAACGUCGUGAGACAGUUCGGUCCCUAUCUGCCGUGGGCGCUGGAGAAUUGAGGGGGGCUGCUCCUAGUACGAGAGGACCGGAGUGGACGCAUCACUGGUGUUCGGGUUGUCAUGCCAAUGGCACUGCCCGGUAGCUAAAUGCGGAAGAGAUAAGUGCUGAAAGCAUCUAAGCACGAAACUUGCCCCGAGAUGAGUUCUCCCUGACUCCUUGAGAGUCCUGAAGGAACGUUGAAGACGACGACGUUGAUAGGCCGGGUGUGUAAGCGCAGCGAUGCGUUGAGCUAACCGGUACUAAUGAACCGUGAGGCUUAACCUUACAACGCCGAAG